rnacentral:rRNA from 1 species
GGCGAACGUAUGAGUAACACGUGGGUGACUGAGCCCUCGAGCGGGGGAUAACUGCCCGAAAGGGUGGCUAAUACCGCAGAUCUCCGGGCUUCGGUGUUCGGAGUGAACCUUCGGGGUUUGAGGAGGGGCCCGCGGCCGAUUAGCUAGCUGGUGGGGUAGCGGCCUACCAGGGCAUCGAUCGGUAGCUGGUCUAAGAGGAUGAUCAGCCAGACUGGGACUGCGAACGACCCAGACUCCUACGGGAGGCAGCAGUUAGGAAUUUUGGGCAAUGGGCGAAAGCCUGACCCAGCAACGCCGCGUGGGUGAUGAAGGCCCUCGGGUCGUAAAGCCCUUUUCCCAGGGAAGAUGGUGACGGUACCUGGGGAAUCAGCCCCGGUAACUACGUGCCAGCAGCCGCGG